CUCUCCUUAGCUCAGUUGGAAGAGCGUGAGACUGUAAAUCUCAAGGUCCCUGGUUCGAACCCGGGAGGGGAGA
rnacentral:tRNA from 2 species